GACGAACUGUGCAAACGUUAUUCGGAAUUACUGGGCGUAAAGCGUGCGCAGGCGGUUCGUUGUGUCGGCGGUGAAAGCCCCGGGCUCAACCUGGGAAUGGCCGUUGAAACUGGCGAACUGGAGUGUGGCAGAGGGGGGUGGAAUUCCGCGUGUAGCAGUGAAAUGCGUAGAGAUGCGGAGGAACACCGAUGGCGAAGGCAGCCCCCUGGGCUGACACUGACGCUCAGGCACGAAAGCGUGGGGAGCAAACAGG
rnacentral:rRNA from 1 species